rnacentral:tRNA from 1 species
GCCGAAGUGGUGGAAUUGGUAGACACGCCAGGUUCAGGGUCUGGUGCGGGCAACUGCGUGGAAGUUCGAGUCUUCUCUUCGGCACCA